GUGAACCAGCGGAGGGAUCAUUG
rnacentral:rRNA from 2 species